rnacentral:lncRNA from 1 species
ACUCUCAGCUCCAGGCUGUUUCUGGGGCAAGCAAAGUUGCUGCAUUUAUUUCCUGCUGCUUUUUUUUUUAUCCACUUUUACCCUGUUUUUGUUUAUCCAAAUGUUCACCUUGCAGCAGCUUUAGGUCUGCUUGCUUGGCACAGGGGAUGCUCCAGCAGACUGCCAUGGCCUCUAAAGAUUGUUGUGAAAUGAAAGGGAGAGACAACACGUGGAGCUACAUGUAGAAGGAGAGCAAACAGUGGCCGUGACACAGGUUACAUCAAAGUAGAUAGCAGAAGCCAGACAAACCUGACUUUCCCAUUAGAAUUUUUGGUCUGGUUCAGAGCUUUGUUAGGGGAACAAGCUGCCACAUGUCAACUUUUCUUGCUAUUGGAAGAUGCGAGUCAGCUCGCUCCUUUCUCACUGAUGGAUACUGUAUGGGAGAAAGGACAUUAACUCUACAAAGAGAGACAGUUGCACUAAUUCAGAGGAUGGGUGUAGGUGUAUCUGUUGGCAGCUGUGCUUCUCUCCGUGUUUAUGUGAAUAAAGGUUCCCUCUCCAGAAGAAGUCUUCUUUAG